UGGGUCGGCCAGACGGUCGCGUCGGAUGCGCGCCCCCGCGAGGGGGGACGGCUCCGCCGAGGAACGUCCGGGCUCCAUAGAGCAGGGCGGUGGGUAACACCCACCCGGAGCAAUCCGCGAGAAAGUGCAACAGAGAGCAGACCGCCACCGGCGUCACGCCGGGGGUAAGGGUGAAACGGUGGUGUAAGAGACCACCAGGGGCCCGAGUGAUCGGGCUCGCUGGGUAAACCUCGCCCGGAGCAAGGUCGAACAGGCACUGUCGAAGCGGCUCGCUGAGGUGCCGGGUAGACCGCUGGAGGGUGUCGGCAACGGCUCCCCGAGAUAGAUGGCCGUCGAACGGGGUCCGCCCCGGGAACAGAACCCGGCGUAUCGGCCGGCCCGCUUG
rnacentral:RNase_P_RNA from 1 species